UACGUAGGUGGCAAGCGUUGUCCGGAAUUAUUGGGCGUAAAGCGCGCGCAGGCGGUCUUUUAAGUCUGAUGUGAAAGCCCACGGCUCAACCGUGGAGGGUCAUUGGAAACUGGGAGACUUGAGUGCAGAAGAGAAGAGUGGAAUUCCAUGUGUAGCGGUGAAAUGCGUAGAGAUAUGGAGGAACACCAGUGGCGAAGGCGACUCUUUGGUCUGUAACUGACGCUGAGGCGCGAAAGCGUGGGGAGCAAACAGGAUUAGA
rnacentral:rRNA from 1 species